UGUCCAAAAUGUAACUGACAAUUUUUGCUUUAUAUUCUUCCACACAUUUCUCGAACAAAGUGCUUCAUUGGAAGCUCCGCUACUCUCAGUGUUCUUCCUCCCGGCGAACACUGAUGGGGAGCUCCGACCCUCUCAACGCCCGUCAUCUCCGGUGAAACUCCGGUGCUAGAGCUCCCGGAGAACACUGAUAGGGAGCUCCGCCGUCUCUGCUGAAAAACUUGGUUGAUGAACAGUAACCGGUUUGCUUGUCCAGCUAUCUUUGUUCAUCGGGAGUUCAAUUCAUAUGAAUUAGGUAUUUUCCAUCCAUUUGACCGAUUUUAUUAAAUACUUUCGUCAGCUAGAGGAUUGAAAAUGAGAAAAAUGAAUGAUUGGUUGGAUUUUAACGUGAAUUGUUGGUUGUAAUUGUUAGACUUAUAGAUCUAAUUGGGAAUUACCUUAAUUUUCGCAUGUUUGCACAUGGUGGCACUGUGUAGCCACCAACGACAAUUUUAAUAAGUAAGUUGCAUAGGUUCCAUGGCUUAUGGUGGCUGAGGAAUUGAAUGAUAACAAAUGUAGGAAAUUCUUAGUCUUUACAAUAGCAUGAUUUGAAAAAGAGGAUUCCGGGAGCCAGGGAAAAUGAUGUAUGGAGUCUAUGUGAUGGGUCAUCAGAGUCGGAGAAGAGGUGAAAUCGGUCUGUUAAUCCAUUGUCUGGUGUUCAAAUACAAUUGCCACAUCAAAAUACCACCAAACAUUAUCAAUCCAUCAAGACUUUACAACCAUGGACCUUUAUACAUAAAGCAGUUCUGACAGCUAAUUCUUAUCGAUACGUCUGAUUACAUUCUCAUGGUAAUUGAGGGAAAACGUCCAGUCGCGCAGUUUAUGCAGACCAGGAGAUUUGUUAUGGACCAGGAUUAAAAAGUUGACCUAUCAAGGCCAUAUCAGUGAUGUGUUAUAUUCAGUGGCAACUUUUGUGCAACUGGUUACAGCGGCUAGGAAUUUAGGGGACAAAGCUUUUUUCUUGGGUGUAAUGCUUCUCCAAGCUUCUCAACUUCCGGGAAUCAAGCCCGAUCACAUUUAUAUUACAGAUGAUUGUUUAGGUGCAUACCUGUAAAGAAGUGGCGGCUUGAACAUGGGGGUGUUCAACUUAGCAGAUGGCAGUAUACAGCCACAUUAUAUGGUGUUUCCUCAGCUGCGUCUGUCCUCCAUUUGGGUCACACCAAAUCCUUGUUAAGCAUCCUUUGAUCCAUCAAAUCUAGUUACAUCUGUUGAUGUCCAUAACAUUUUUGAGAACCGUUCCUAGAAGCUGAUGCAUCUGAAGGAAGCCGAUGUACUAAAGCUCUCGCUAUGUACGGGGUUCAGGGAAGGGCGGAACCACAAGGGUUAGAAGCACAAACCUAUGACUCAAGUUAUCAUGGAUAUACAAGAAUGUAGCAUAAUUUGCAGCUACACAUCUAGCAUUGUAAAUGACUGAUUGCUCGGAGCUUCCACAGGAUUUGUUGAGAUUGAUAGGUCAUUGUCUUAUUACAUAUACCAAGUCCAGUUCACAUGUGUUUGAACUUCAUGGAGGAAUUUUGGAUUUGUGGUGGAUUUUUGAUAUUCUGGAUGGGAACGAUGCGUAAGAGGAAGGUGAGCUUGUUUGAUGUGUGGAUGACUCGUCGGCGUCAACAAAGAAAGCCAAUAGAAGCUUAAAUGGUGUAAACACAACAAGUGAUACGAAAUGCCUUACAGAGAUUCGAUGAAAUUUUGGGGAAGAGGAAGACUCUUCCCAUGUGGCAUCAAAAAGAGUAAUUCUCUAUCACCGGUUGUCAUCACCAGGUCUCCUAAAACCGAGGAACUGGUAGUGUCCCUUAAUGACCAUGAGGACAUAGUCAAGAUGUAUGAGAAGAGGAUUAGCUGAUAGACGUUCAUGGUUCUGAAGUCUUGUUGGGUCUAUAAUGUUUGGUGUUAUUCUGAUGUGGCAACUGGAUUUGAACACCGGAGAAUGGAUGCAACAGACUGAUUUCACCCUCUUCUCCAUCUAUGAUGAGCCAUUCCAUAGAUUCCAUACAUCGUUUUCCACUGGCUCCCGGAAUACUCUUCUUCAUAAUCAUGCCAUUGUACAGACUGAAGAAUUUUCUACAUGUUUUAUCAUUCUCGUCCUCAGCUAGCAUUAGCCAUGAAACCCUUGCCAAAUUACUAUUAAAAUUAUCCUUGGUGGCCACAGAGUGCCACAAUCUGCAAACAGUGCGGAAAUUAAGGUAAUCCUCAAUCAGCUUUAUACGUCUUACAAUUACAACCAACAGUUCACGGUUAAGCUCCGACCAAUCAGCCAUUAUUCUCAUUUUCAAGCCCUAGCUACCGAAAGGAUAUAAUAAUAUUGGGGCAAAUGGUCGAGUAUCAAGCAAUUCUCAGAAAUUUUUCUUUUGCCAUUUUAUACUAGAUUGUUGAGAAAAUGAUUUUUAAUGUAUGGAGGGAUUCUGGCCUAAAUUAUCCCUUUUGGUGGUAGGCUUUACUUUGUCUUUUUCUCUCUAAUGCCAUCAUGAGUACUAUUUGUCCUUUGUUCAAAUUAUCAACUAUGUUGGUUUCUUUAUCUAUGCCUUCCUAUUGAACAAUUUAGAUUCUUAA